AUUGAACGCUGGCGGCAGGCCUAACACAUGCAAGUCGAACGAGUGGCGGACGGGUGAGUAACGUCUGUGAAACUCCCCGAUGGAGGGGGAUAACUACUGGAAACGGUAGCUAAUACCGCAUACCAUCGGAUGUGCCCAGAUGGGAUUAGCUAGGCGGUGGGGUAAAGGGUCACCUAGGCGACGAUCUCUAGGUGGUCUGAGAGGAUGACCAGCCACACGGGACCUGAGACAGCGUCCAGACUCCUACGGGAGGCAGCAGUGGGGAAUAUUGCACAAUGGGCGCAAGCCUGAUGCAGCCAUGCCGCGUGUAUGAAGAAGGCCUUCGGGUUGUAAAGUACUUUCAGCGGGGAGGCGUUACCCGCAGAAGAAGCACCGGCUAACUCCGUGCCAGCAGCCGCGGUAAUAC
rnacentral:rRNA from 1 species